UACGAAGGGGGCUAGCGUUGCUCGGAAUCACUGGGCGUAAAGCGCACGUAGGCGGAUUGCUAAGUCAGGGGUGAAAUCCUGGAGCUCAACUCCAGAACUGCCUUUGAUACUGGCGACCUUGAGUCCGGGAGAGGUGAGUGGAACUGCGAGUGUAGAGGUGAAAUUCGUAGAUAUUCGGAGGAACACCAGAAGCGAAGGCGGCCAACUGGCCCGAUACUGACGCUGAGGCGCGAAAGCGUGGGGAGCAAACAGG
rnacentral:rRNA from 1 species